rnacentral:rRNA from 1 species
GAUGAACGCUGGCGGCGUGCCUAAUACAUGCAAGUCGAGCGAACAGACGAGGAGCUUGCUCCCCUGACGUUAGCGGCGGACGGGUGAGUAACACGUGGAUAACCUACCUAUAAGACUGGGAUAACUUCGGGAAACCGGAGCUAAUACCGGAUAAUAUAUUGAACAGCAUGGUUCAAUAGUGAAAGACGGUUUUGCUGUCACUUAUAGAUGGAUCCGCGCCGCAUUAGCUAGUUGGUAAGGUAACGGCUUACCAAGGCAACGAUGCGUAGCCGACCUGAGAGGGUGAUCAGCCACACUGGAACUGAGACACGGUGCAGACUCCUACAGGAGGCAGCAGUCGGGAAUCUUCCGCGAUGGGCGAAAGCCUGACGGAGCAACACCGCGUGAGUGAUGAAGAUCUUCGGAUCGUAAAACUCUGUUAUUAGGGAAGAACAAAUGUGUAAGUAACUAUGCACGUCUUGACGGUACCUGAUCAGAAAGCCACGGCUAACUACGUG